CUUUAUUGCUGCACGAUGACCAAGCGCCCGGUCGCAUCGAACGUUCCGUGAUUGCCAAGCACAAAGGCUUCUUAAAUCUGCCGGCGUUGUUUCUACUUCAGCGCUCCUCGUUUGGGCUGAAACCUGAACAGGCCACAGCUGUAGGCUUGCCAAGGCUGCCACUACCUCCUCCGGUCGAACGUCAAUUUAGCGGAGGCAGAAUUGCGCACACUGCACCAGGCGACGCCACCUUCUUAAGGAUCUUCGAGUUCCUUGCCUGUCCCGAAAUCGAGGGAGCCCAUUGUCAUGUUCGAGGGUCUACUUCUCGCGUUGGCCUUCUUUUGUCUCGUCUGCCACACCAAUGGGCUUAGAGUUGACGAUGCUGAUGGAGGAUACAUCGACCUACUAGUCUCCAUCCACCCAGAAACCAGUCCAAAUGAAGUGAUUGUCGACAACCU